UUGAACUUCUCCUUUCAAAGCUCACGCCGUCUGCUAUCUUUCUUCUAUCUACCUAUCUUGGAGAGAUGAUACUGCCAACAUUGUUCUUAUUUGUUGCAGGUGCUGUCUGCUCUGAAGUAACAGAUGUAACAAAGCGGGAUGGAGAGACUGUCACUUUACACAUAAACAAAACAGUGCAACCCAAUCAUAAUUAUCUAUGGUCCAUUGUCCCAAUAGACCAGUUACCAUUGUCACCAAUGGAGAGGUCCUUCAUGUCAAUGGGACCGGAUUUGAAAAGAGGGUACACACACAUGUUGAAACUGGAUCAAUCACAAUCUCUAACCUCACCAUCAAUGACAGUGGGAUAUUCCUGGCUCAGGUCUUAACAAAAACAGGUAUCCUGGAGCAAAGAUUUAACCUCUCUGUCCAUGAGAAUUCACUUAUUCCUCUUAAUGUAUUGAAAGGAGGCAAUAUCACUCUGGACCCUGGACUAGAAAAACUACAGAAAGAACACAAUGUGAUGUGGACACAGGGACCAGAUUUCUCUGGGAAACUAAUAGCUCAGUGGAAGAACUUCAGCAUGUUUGUCUCCUUCUUUUGAGUUUCAUUUUUGUUAAAGAAUAAAGGACGACACAAAGAAGAGAAAGCAUGAACACUUCACAGUGAGGGUACACGAAUGAUCAAGAUCUGUAUUAUUAAUGAAGUCCAUGUCUUCUUUAAAGGUAAGCCUGCAGUCAAAGGAAGAGGGCAAAAAAACCUGAUCAGUGCAUUUGUAUUCUGUUCUUAUCAUGAUUAACUG